rnacentral:ncRNA from 1 species
ACUCAUGCUGUCUCCCCAGAAGAACCAUCCCAUGCCGGCACAACCAUUGUUGGAAACCUCAUCAUUCGCGCGGUAAGGGUCGUUGUAUUUUAUGAAGGCAUUGUUGCGUGGUGCAGGAAAGGGAAGUGCUUGAGAUCAGUCUUAAGGUUUAGUGAUCAGUCUUCCUUUUGGUUGGUGCACUCACUAUUUCUUAGGCCAACAUCAGUUUUGGCGGCAGGAUAAUGACAUUGGAAUGUGGCUCUUUCGGGAGUGUUAUAGCCUUUGUUGAUACUGCCUGCUUAGACUGAGGACUGCGCUUUGCUAGGAUGUUGGCAUAAUGAUCUUAAGCAGCCCGUCUUGAAACACGGACCAAGGAGUCUAACAACUAUGCGAGUGUUUGGGUGUAAAACCCGUACGCAUAAUGAAAGUGAACGUAGGUGGGAACCUUUUGGUGCACCAUCGACCGAUCCUGAUGUAUUCGGAUGGAUUUGAGUAAGAGCAUAGCUGUUGGGACCCGAAAGAUGGUGAACUAUGCCUGAAUAGGGUGAAGCCAGAGGAAACUCUGGUGGAGGCUCGUAGCGAUUCUGACGUGCAAAUCGAUCGU